GCGAGGUAGAGCAAAUCUCAAAAAAACAAUCUCAGUUCAGACUGCAGGCUGCAACUCGCCUGCACGAAGUCGGAAUUGCUAGUAAUCGUAGGUCAGCAUACUACGGUGAAUACGUUCCCGGGCCUUGUACACACCGCCCGUCAAACCAUGAGAGUUGGCAACACCCGAAGUCGGUAGUCUAACCGCAAGGAGGACGCCGCCGAAGGUGGGGUUGAUGAUUAGGGUUAAGUCGUAACAAGGUAUC
rnacentral:rRNA from 1 species